GUUCUGCAUCUCCAGAAACAACUAAAGGGACGCCUAGCACAGAGAAGACAAAGGCUGGUAAAUCUUCCCCUCCGACCAUGGUGAGGCUACAAGGGACUGAAGCUGCGGUGGCACCUAAAAAUACAGCCAAGGCUACGGAGGCUGUUGAACCAAUUAAAGGUGCUGCAGUUGACGACUCUGUGACUGCAGAGAAGAUCUCAAAGGAUCAGCCGGUCGCUGUUACCCACCCAACAUUUUGGGAGCGGAUACAAGAGCAACUGAGUCCAGAAAGAAUCCGUUCUCUCAAGACAGUCAAACUUCCCAAUUUAAAGCUUGUUUUGCUUGAUUACAAGGUGCUGUUAAUAAGCAACCUGCCAGAGUAUCACGAUGGCUGUUACGCAGAGGAGGACAUCGCCGGUCUGCUCACUCGACACAGAUUUGAAUAUUACGACGACACGAUCUACGUUAUACCACAGGCACGCAUGGCUUUUGCCCUCAUGCCGACAGCAGUGGCAGCUAAAAACAUCGUGCUAGCAUCAGAAAAACAUGAUUUUAUUCUCAAUGGGUCUAAACUUCGACUGCAGGUUGAGAAGGGCAACAUUUUAAUGACGCCGCUUGAGUUUUAUAAGUCUCUGAUGAAACGGCUAUGCUAUCAGCAAGUGACUGACAAUGGAGCACGAAUAAUCUACAUCAGGAACAUCUCGCCAGGCGAGUCCCGGGAUCUCAGAGAAGCUUUGAAAAAAAUGGAUUGUGUAAGAAACUACCUGCCUCUACUCAACAAGG
ensembl:lncRNA